rnacentral:rRNA from 1 species
GUCGACCUGCAGGCGGCCGCGAAUUCACUAGUGAUUAGAGUUUGAUCCUGGCUCAGAUUGAACGCUGGCGGCAUGCUUUACACAUGCAAGUCGAACGGCAGCACGGGGGCAACCCUGGUGGCGAGUGGCGAACGGGUGAGUAAUGUAUCGGAACAUGUCCGGAAGUGGGGGAUAACGUAGCGAAAGUUACGCUAAUACCGCAUAUGCCCUGAGGGGGAAAGGUGGGGAUCGCAAGACCUAUCGCUUUCGGAGUGGCCGAUAUCAGAUUAGCUUGUUGGUGAGGUAAAGGCUCACCAAGGCGACGAUCUGUAGCUGGUCUGAGAGGACGACCAGCCACACUGGGACUGAGACACGGCCCAGACUCCUACGGGAGGCAGCAGUGGGGAAUUUUGGACAAUGGGGGCAACCCUGAUCCAGCCAUGCCGCGCGAGUGAAGAAGGCCUUCGGGUUGUAAAGCUC